GAGAGAGAGAGCGUCCAGAAAAUGAAGGCCUUACUCUAAUGCCGAAGGCUGCCUACCCAUUGCCACUCAGAUGAAGUUUUACUUACUCUGUGAUUCGGUUGUGUGAACACAGGAGCAUAAAAAGCUCACUCGAAUGCACAACUCUGUGGAGGUUGCCAUGGAGACUCCAAUUUAGGAGCAACUGUAUUUGAGGAGAAUUUCCAGCCCCGCAGUAUGUGGAAAGGCAGAUACAGGAAUCAAAGCGUGCCUACACAUCUCAAGGCUUCAGACAGGAGUCAGGCAGGACAGCUGGACCAGGAGGGGGCGCACAGGGGAAGCAUGGUUGGAGGGAAAAAGAUCUUGCUACCACAAAUGUUUAAUUAACAUUACAGUCAGUUCUCUAUUAUUUUCCUUUGCUCCAGAACUGUUCCAUGAAAUAAAUGAGUGACUAAAUAAAUGAUAACUCCCUCUGUCCAAAUGACUGUAGUAAUGUCCAAUAUGUACAAUUUCUAACUUUUCUCUGAAAAUGAACCCAAUACAUGUUCUACCUUCUGCAUGACAAUUCACUAAUGUGUAAUUUAAAGGUCUGACUUUGUAAGUAUUUGCUACCUGAUCAUGCCCUAAAAUAUUUACUUGCUUUUCAUUUCAUGCUUGCAGCAAAUGUCUUCCAUAAAGCGUCCAGCCUUUCACCCACAAAAAAUCAUCACAAAAUUUACUGACUAUAA